UACGAAGGGGGCUAGCGUUGCUCGGAAUCACUGGGCGUAAAGCGCACGUAGGCGGCUUUUUAAGUCAGGGGUGAAAUCCUGGAGCUCAACUCCAGUACUGCCUUUGAUACUGAGAGCUUGAGUCCGGGAGAGGUGAGUGGAACUGCGAGUGUAGAGGUGAAAUUCGUAGAUAUUCGCAAGAACACCAGUGGCGAAGGCGGCUCACUGGCCCGGUACUGACGCUGAGGUGCGAAAGCGUGGGGAGCAAACAGG
rnacentral:rRNA from 1 species